UACCAGCUCCCCGAGUGUUCGGUACGAUUAUUGGGCCUAAAGCAUCCGUAGCCGGUCCUCCAAGUCUUCCGUUAAAUCCACCUGCUCAACAGAUGGGCUGCGGAAGAUACUAUAGGGCUAGGAGGCGGGAGAGGCAAGCGGUACUCAGUGGGUAGGGGUAAAAUCCUCUGAUCCAGUGAAGACCACCAGUGGCGAAGGCGGCUUGCCAGAACGCGCUCGACGGUGAGGGAUGAAAGCUGGGGGAGCAAACCGG
rnacentral:rRNA from 1 species